GACGAAUGCUGGCUGCGUGCUUAACACAUGCAAGUCGAACGGUGAAGGAGAGCUUGCUCUCCGGCUCAGUGGCGAACGGGUGAGUAACACGUUGGCAACCUGCCCCUCACUCUGGGAUAACGCUGGGAAACCGGCGCUCAUACCGGCUACGACCAGGAGCGCCAUCCCGCCUGUUGGGAAGAAUUUCGGUGCGGGAUGGGCCCGCGGCCUAUCAGCUAGCGGGUGGGGAAACGGCGCAACAAGGCGACGACGGGUAGCCGGCCUGAGAGGGCGACCGGCCACACUGGGAGUGAGACACUGCCCAGACUCCUACGGGAGGCAGCAGUGGGGAAUAUUGCGCAAUGGGCGAAAGCCUGAUGCAGCGACGCAGCGUUAGGGACGACGGCCUUCGGGUUGUAAACCUCUUUCGGCGGGGACGAAGCGAAAGUGACGGUACCCGCAGAAGAAGCACCGGCUAACUACGUGCCAGCCGCCGCCGUAAAAC
rnacentral:rRNA from 1 species